GAUGAACGCUGGCGGCGUGCCUAAUACAUGCAAGUAGAACGCUGAAGGAAGGAGCUUGCUCUUUCCGGAUGAGUUGCGAACGGGUGAGUAACGCGUAGGUAACCUGCCUGGUAGCGGGGGAUAACUAUUGGAAACGAUAGCAAAUACCGCAUAACAGUAGAUGUUGCAUGAUAUCUACUUAAAAGGUGCAAUUGCACCACUACCGGAUGGACCUGCGUUGUAUUAGCUAGUUGGUGAGGUAACGGCUCACCAAGGCGACGAUACAUAGCCGACCUGAGAGGGUGAUCGGCCACACUGGGACUGAGACACGGCCCAGACUCCUACGGGAGGCAGCAGUAGGGAAUCUUCGGCAAUGGACGGAAGUCUGACCGAGCAACGCCGCGUGAGUGAAGAAGGUUUUCGGAUCGUAAAGCUCUGUUGUAAGAGAAGAACGAGUGUGAGAGUGGAAAGUUCACACUGUGACGGUAUCUGACCAGAAAGGGACGGCUAACUACGUG
rnacentral:rRNA from 1 species